GGGGUCGUUACGGAAUCGACUGGUAUUGUUCGAGCUAGUAUGGCGCUUAGGGGUUGUGUCCCUAUAAUCCACUCAGAUGAAUUAACUGCAAAAAAUUCAAAUAACUACGCUGUCGCUGCCUAAAAACCAGCACACGUGAUCAUCUUUAAUUGUGAUUGCCGAUUAUUUGAUGGUUUAAUAAAUUAGUAAUCUGCGCCAGUUGCUCUCCGCUUGGGGGUGACUGGAAGAGGAUAAUCAAGCUAGCAGUUUGAUCGCCUUGUGUUACGGCGUGCAGCCUGUGAAUUUUAAAUGGUAAUACUAUGAGCGUAGAUGUAUUAGUGGCGAGAUAGUAGGACAGGGGUUCAACUCCCCUCGGCUCCAUCU
rnacentral:tmRNA from 1 species